rnacentral:lncRNA from 1 species
AAAGAAGGAACGGUGCCCUGUCCCUGAGAGAAUCAAAACAGCUUGUUCAAGCGUCAAGCAUGUCGAUAAACAAUCAGCGGCACCAAUAGGAAAGAGAGGCUGGAGCUUUUAACGCGGACUAUCCUCACAGGCUAACUAUCCUUAUAGGCUGUGCUGGACAGCUAACAUACACUGAGUUACACCGCCAUCACGACAUUGCGCCAGGUUGCCGCUGACCAACCUGGCGGUUGCAAGGGUGACUAUCGCCCCCUUUGCAUUCUCAAUGUAACGACGGCAGGCCUCGGGAUGAACUCCAUCUGAGCUGAGGUCGACGACCGAAGGGGGAUGUUCAGCACUAACUCUUGCCAGGCGCCGGCAGGACACCGAAGCAGCGACACGGCUCUGUAUAUCUAUACGCCGUAAAAUAUCUUGAAGAAGGGAGUCAUGAAGGCAAAGUAAUGCACUGCUUUCAGGCUCGGAGUUGACUGAGCCGAGCAGCACCACGCCGGGAGACACCGCUACAACACCGGCUGCCAUACUAAAGUUGUGUUGUGGUCCACGCUCCUAAAAGUAUGCCAAAAGGGGCCCUUUGCACGCGAUGUCUUCCGAAGUUCCCGACACCGUCGAAUGUCUUGGUAUCUUCCACCAGCUAUGCAAAGUAAGGUAUAAUAGGUGUGGUGACUUGGCUGAACUUGUCUGGCUUGACGUAAUAGCCUCGUAGGCCUCUGUCCGGAAAUCGGUGUGAGUCACGAACGGACGGCAACGGGUGUCUGACCUUUUAGCGAUGAGUCGCGACAUUCCUCUUUUUUUCCAACUUUACCGGUCUUUCUACUAUCAAUAUAAUGCGUACCAUUUGUUUAAUAAUGUGGCGGUAUACGGUGACAUGGAUGAUAGGUCUGUAACUAUGCGGUUGUGGUAAGUGGACCCAAGGCAUGACAAGAUGUCUUUUUUAUGUCAGAUAAAUGUAGGGCAGAUGCAUGCAUAAUUUGGAAAAGCUCAAACCGGCCAUGGCCACGGAUUUAUCGUAAAGCAACAUCGCACGUAUAGCACGUGCGACGGGAAGGAGGGCAUGUGUGUAGAGUAACAAUCAAUUAAUGCGAUGCCAAUAUGUGUUCCCUCCAGGUCGUCCUGUCAUGAUGACGACACACUUUUGUGUAUGUCCGGAUGGCGGCUUCAAAUGAUAGGGUGGUAUCGAGUACCUAACGAGUACCUACUUAACUGAAUUGCUGCGUAAUGAGGCAGUACAUUACAUGGCAUCACUAGCUCCACCGUUACGUGGGGCCCCAUCAGGAGGGAAUACCGUUUUUCCACGUACCAUUCCGGAAUAAACCACAAGAUGCUGUGCUCGCAGCCUGUAGUUGGAAAUCACGCCGAGCAAUGGCAACCCAACGCACGAGCCCUGACACCGGGUUGGAGCAGUAUAACCUGCUCUCCAUGUUCGAAUCUGACAAACCCACUCCAGAACACACAUGUCUAAGGCUGCCCACCAUAUUCAGCUGCGCUGCAGCAACUUUUAGAUUAAUGAACCUCGACUCGACGUGACCAUCCAUGGCAACGCAAAUUCAUGACUCUAUGGCUCUCGCUUUAACGUCAUCCCGACAAAUCCCAAUCAUCCCUAAAGCCUGCCUCCAGCUGCGUGAGUGCCCUUAGAUUCAACUGAGAGUCCUUGUUACAAUCGAGCCUAUUUAAGAAACAUUCCACUUGUGUGGUGGGACCGAAAGACCCCGAGUGAUGGGUGGUGAGCCGUCUUAUCGACCGGCCACCGGCGGAAGUACGGCAAAGCGAACCAGAUUAGAUGAAGGCCCUAUGGCGAAGGCCAAAUUACACCGACGAACGAUAACGAAUAG